rnacentral:rRNA from 1 species
UGCAAGUCGAACGGGAUCCCAGGAGCUUGCUCCUGGGUGAGAGUGGCGAACGGGUGAGUAAUGCGUGACCGACCUGCCCCAUACACCGGAAUAGCUCCUGGAAACGGGUGGUAAUGCCGGAUGCUCCAGUUGGAUGCAUGUCCUUCUGGGAAAGAUUCAUCGGUAUGGGAUGGGGUCGCGUCCUAUCAGCUUGAUGGCGGGGUAACGGCCCACCAUGGCUUCGACGGGUAGCCGGCCUGAGAGGGCGACCGGCCACAUUGGGACUGAGAUACGGCCCAGACUCCUACGGGAGGCAGCAGUGGGGAAUAUUGCACAAUGGGCGCAAGCCUGAUGCAGCGACGCCGCGUGCGGGAUGACGGCCUUCGGGUUGUAAACCGCUUUUGACUGGGAGCAAGCCCUUCGGGGUGAGUGUACCUUUCGAAUAAGCACCGGCUAACUACGUGCCAGCAGCCGCGGUAAUACGUAGGGUGCAAGCGUUAUCCGGAAUUAUUGGGCGUAAAGGGCUCGUAGGCGGUUCGUCGCGUCCGGUGUGAAAGUCCAUCGCUUAACGGUGGAUCCGCGCCGGGUACGGGCGGGCUUGAGUGCGGUAGGGGAGACUGGAAUUCCCGGUGUAACGGUGGAAUGUGUAGAUAUCGGGAAGAACACCAAUGGCGAAGGCAGGUCUCUGGGCCGUCACUGACGCUGAGGAGCGAAAGCGUGGGGAGCGAACAGGAUUAGAUACCCUGGUAGUCCACGCCGUAAACGGUGGAUGCUGGAUGUGGGGACCAUUCCACGGUCUCCGUGUCGGAGCCAACGCGUUAAGCAUCCCGCCUGGGGAGUACGGCCGCAAGGCUAAAACUCAAAGAAAUUGACGGGGGCCCGCACAAGCGG